UACGGGGGGGGCAAGCGUUGUUCGGAAUUACUGGGCGUAAAGGGCUCGUAGGCGGCCAACUAAGUCAGACGUGAAAUCCCUCGGCUUAACCGGGGAACUGCGUCUGAUACUGGAUGGCUUGAGUUUGGGAGAGGGAUGCGGAAUUCCAGGUGUAGCGGUGAAAUGCGUAGAUAUCAAGAGGAAUACCUGAGGUGAAGACGGGUUGCUAGGCCGACACUGACGCUGAAGCGCGAAAGCCAGGGGAGCAAACGGG
rnacentral:rRNA from 1 species